rnacentral:rRNA from 1 species
UACGAAGGGGGCUAGCGUUGCUCGGAAUCACUGGGCGUAAAGCGCACGUAGGCGGAUUGUUAAGUCAGGGGUGAAAUCCUGGAGCUCAACUCCAGAACUGCCUUUGAUACUGGCGAUCUUGAGUCCGGGAGAGGUGAGUGGAACUGCGAGUGUAGAGGUGAAAUUCGUAGAUAUUCGCAAGAACACCAGUGGCGAAGGCGGCUCACUGGCCCGGUACUGACGCUGAGAUGCGAAAGCGUGGGGAGCAAACAGG